UCCCCCGCCGUUCCCCAGAGAACCACAGAUCCCUGCAGCCUCUGUACCACUGUCACAGCCCAAGACUGAGGUGCAAAUUUGGCCAGGCCAGAGAGGUAAUUUUAGGGAGCAGAAUUGAGCAGUCGCUUCUACUUUGACUUCUGAUACUUCACGAAGGCUGAGCUGAAGGCUGCGCCACCAGAAGCUUGUUUUCAGAGUCUGGCAUCGUGGGAAUUUGCCCGGCGUGCUGGAUGGAGAGAGGCUGACUUGGAUUCUGUGGGCUUGGAAAGACAGUCAAAGACUCUUCCUUUCCCUGA